rnacentral:tRNA from 1 species
AAGAGGUGUAUGAACAAUUAGACCUGCUAACUCAAAUAACUGAUGAGAAAAUCCUCAGACCUCUUA